GUUAUAUGGUCAAGCGGUUAAGCGCGCACGGUGGAUGCCUAGGCGGUAGGAGGCGAUGAAGGACGUUGUAGCCUGCGAUAAGCCUCGGGGAGCUGGCAAACAAGCUUUGAUCCGGGGAUUUCCGAAUGGGGAAACCCAUCCCUUUUAGGGAUAUCCUCACCUGAAUACAUAGGGUGUUGGAGGCGAACCUGGGGAACUGAAACAUCUAAGUACCCAGAGGAAAAGAAAUCAAUUGAGAUUCCGUGAGUAGCGGCGAGCGAAAGUGGAUUAGCCCUUAAGCGUCUUGAGUUUUAGUCGAACGGUCUGGAAAGGCCGGCCAAAGUGGGUGAUAGCCCCGUAGGCGAAAAGGCUCUUGACGUGAAAUCGAGUAGGGCGGGGCACGUGAAACCCUGUCUGAACAUGGGGGGACCAUCCUCCAAGGCUAAAUACUCCCUACCGACCGAUAGUGAACCAGUACCGUGAGGGAAAGGCGAAAAGAACCCCGGAGAGGGGAGUGAAAUAGAACCUGAAACCGUGUGCGUACAAGCAGUGGGAGCCCCUUCGGGGGUGACCGCGUACCUUUUGUAUAAUGGGUCAGCGACUUAAUUUCAGUGGCAAGGUUAACCGCAAGGGGAGCCGUAGGGAAACCGAGUCUUAAUAGGGCGCUCAGUCGCUGGAAUUAGACCCGAAACCGGGCGAUCUAUCCAUGGCCAGGGUGAAGGUGGGGUAACACCUACUGGAGGCCCGAACCCACUAAUGUUGAAAAAUUAGGGGAUGAGCUGUGGAUCGGAGUGAAAGGCUAAUCAAGCUCGGAGAUAGCUGGUUCUCCUCGAAAGCUAUUUAGGUAGCGCCUCAUGUAUCACUCUCGGGGGUAGAGCACUGUUAUGGCUAGGGGGUCAUCCCGACUUACCAAACCAUUGCAAACUCCGAAUACCGAGAAGUGCGAGCAUGGGAGACACACGGCGGGUGCUAACGUCCGUCGUGGAAAGGGAAACAACCCAGACCGCCAGCUAAGGUCCCCAAAUCAUGGCUCAGUGGGAAACGAUGUGGGAAGGCAGAGACAGCCAGGAGGUUGGCUUAGAAGCAGCCAUCCUUUAAAGAAAGCGUAAUAGCUCACUGGUCGAGUCGGCCUGCGCGGAAGAUUUAACGGGGCUAAAGCCAUGUACCGAAGCUGCGGACUUGCUUUGCAAGUGGUAGAGGAGCGUUCUGUAAGCCUGUGAAGGUGUGCCGAGAGGCAUGCUGGAGGUAUCAGAAGUGCGAAUGCUGACAUGAGUAACGAUAAGAUGGGUGAAAAACCCAUCCGCCGAAAGCCCAAGGUUUCCUGCGCAACGCUAAUCGGCGCAGGGUUAGUCGGCCCCUAAGGCGAGGCAGAAAUGCGUAGUCGAUGGGAAACAGGUUAAUAUUCCUGUACCGACUGUUAAUGCGAUGGGGGGACGGAGAAGGCUAAGUGAUCCGGCAGUUGGUGCCCGGUUCAAGUAUGUAGGGAGUGUCCUUAGGCAAAUCCGGGGACACAAUCCUGAGAUACGAUGACGAGCCUCCACGGAGGCGAAGUCACUGAUGCCAUGCUUCCAGGAAAAGCCUCUAAGCUUCAGUUAACAGUUGACCGUACCCCAAACCGACACAGGUGGGCAGGGUGAGAAUCCCAAGGCGCUUGAGAGAACUCGGGUGAAGGAACUAGGCAAAAUGGUACCGUAACUUCGGGAGAAGGUACGCCUCGGCUGGUGAUGGGACUUGCUCCCUGAGCUGGCCGAGGUCGCAGAGACCAGGCCGCUGCGACUGUUUAUUAAAAACACAGCACUCUGCAAACUCGAAAGAGGACGUAUAGGGUGUGACGCCUGCCCGGUGCCGGAAGGUUAAUUGAUGGGGUUAUCUUCGGAGAAGCUCUUGAUCGAAGCCCCGGUAAACGGCGGCCGUAACUAUAACGGUCCUAAGGUAGCGAAAUUCCUUGUCGGGUAAGUUCCGACCUGCACGAAUGGCGUAACGAUGGCGGCGCUGUCUCCACCCGAGACUCAGUGAAAUUGAAAUCGCAGUGAAGAUGCUGUGUACCCGCGGCUAGACGGAAAGACCCCGUGAACCUUUACUACAGCUUCACACUGAACUUUGAACUUGUUUGUGUAGGAUAGGUGGGAGGCUUUGAAACCGGGACGCCAGUCUCGGCGGAGCCAACCUUGAAAUACCACCCUGGCAAUUUUGGAGUUCUAACCCAGGCCUGUUAUCCAGGUCGGGGACCGUGUGUGGUGGGUAGUUUGACUGGGGCGGUCUCCUCCCAAAGAGUAACGGAGGAGUGCGAAGGUACCCUCAGCGCGGUCGGAAAUCGCGCGACGAGUGCAAAGGCAUAAGGGUGCUUAACUGCGAGACAGACACGUCGAGCAGGUGCGAAAGCAGGUCUUAGUGAUCCGGUGGUUCUGUAUGGAAGGGCCAUCGCUCAACGGAUAAAAGGUACUCCGGGGAUAACAGGCUGAUACUGCCCAAGAGUCCAUAUCGACGGCAGUGUUUGGCACCUCGAUGUCGGCUCAUCACAUCCUGGGGCUGAAGCAGGUCCCAAGGGUAUGGCUGUUCGCCAUUUAAAGUGGUACGCGAGCUGGGUUUAGAACGUCGUGAGACAGUUCGGUCCCUAUCUGCCGUGGGCGUCGGAGAUUUGACAGGAUCUGUCCUUAGUACGAGAGGACCGGGAUGGACGCACCUCUGGUGUUCCGGUUGUCACGCCAGUGGCAUUGCCGGGUAGCUAAGUGCGGAAGGGAUAACCGCUGAAAGCAUCUAAGCGGGAAACCCACCUGAAGAUGAUAUCUCCCUGGGCCCUCGAGGUCCCUGUAGGGCCGUUGAAGACUACAACGUUGAUAGGCUGGGUGUUGAAGCGCGGUAACGCGUGUAGCUAACCAGUACUAAUUGCCCGUGAGGCUUGACCAUAUAACACCCAAAGUGUUGG
rnacentral:rRNA from 1 species